rnacentral:rRNA from 1 species
UACGGAAGGGGCAAGCGUUGUUCGGAAUCAUUGGGCGUAAAGGGCGCGUAGGUGGUUCUGUAUGUCUAUCGUGAAAGCGUACGGCUCAACCGUAUUUUGUCGGUAGAAACUGCAGGACUUGAGGCUGGGAGGGGCUGGUGGAAUUCCCUGUGUAGCGGUGAAAUGCGUAGAGAUGGGGGAGAACACUCGUGGCGAAGGCGGCCAGCUAGACCAGUUCUGACACUGAGGCGCGACAGCGUGGGGAGCAAACGGG